UACGAAGGGGGCGAGCGUUGUUCGGAUUUACUGGGCGUAAAGGGCGCGCAGGCGGCUCAUUUUGUCAGGCGUGAAAGCCCCGGGCUUAACCUGGGAACUGCGUUUGAUACGGAUGGGCUAGAGUUCGGGAGAGGAGAGUGGAAUUCCCAGUGUAGAGGUGAAAUUCGUAGAUAUUGGGAAGAACACCGGUGGCUAAGGCGGCUCUCUAGUACGGUACUGACGCUGAGACGCGAAAGCGUGGGGAGCGAACAGG
rnacentral:rRNA from 1 species